AUGCGUUGUAUUUCCAAAGGAAGGUGUAAGGUGCACAGACUGCUGGGAGAUCGCAUCCUCAUCUACAGUAUAUUGAGCUGGAAUGAAGGACAGGCAGGAAAAGAAACUCCUUCCCUAUCGCUGCCAGGGAACCCAUCCAUCACCACUAUGCCAGAGAGCCUGCAUCUUGUGAAACACUUACACACUUCAUGCUCUAGUUACUGGGAAACGAGGAGUGGAACUGAGCAGCCACGUAGACUUCAGCUUUCACAGAAACUUUCUAUCAAACUCUCUUAUCUCCUUCCUCCCAAGCCCUUCCAUAUACAAGAGUACUCCAGAGACACUUCUAAAUCCCAGUGUAGCAGUGCAACUGCUGUUACCAGCAAAACUUCCCCUGCUCCUUGCUCCUCAGUGUGGAGGACCCACAUACAAUGUGUUCCCGGCUCUAGGGACAUCCAAUUGCAGGAAAUCUUCCAGAGUGAGUUUAGGGGGAGGAAGGGAAAUGCAUCCUGCCACAACUAUGUUACAGUGGGUAAGGCCCAAUGACUCUCAAUACUCCAUCACUUAUGGAACCUGAGUUUGAAUCCCUCAACCGGAUUUUGCCAUGCUUGCUCUGGGACCCCAAUUUAGCCAGUUCCUGACCACCUCCCAUUAACAGAUUUAGUGAGAGCUGUUGACAACAGUUGCUGUUGCCCCCUCCCAUGGGCUAAAGUGUUGCUCCCAUUUCAAACACACAACCAGGACAGCCUGACGAAUCAGGAGGACUCUGUCCUACUCUACCAUCAGCAAGCAGCAUGAGGAUUCAGUUUUAGGGGAGGAAAGCUGUUCUUCCAACAGGAAAAGAAAGAGGCCAAUCCACAAACACACCUUCGGACCCUCUGGGAAGCAUGCUGGCUCUCACAGCAACCUGGUCCCUUCCAGCCCAUCCAGUGCUAGAGGAAACACCCCGAUACACGCGCUUCCAGCCCCGACGAGCCUCCCCAACACCAUGCCAAGUGAGCUAAGAUCGACAACGUGGGAAAAAAAACACCACCACCAGAAGAAAAUCAGCAAUAACAACCCAAAAAGAAAAAAGAGCUGAGAUUAAAUUCCGACUAGCCUCAGUCAGUUUCUAGGAGUACCAGUGGAAGUAAACCCUUAAACCGCAUCUGUAGUUCGGUAAGGCACUACGAGGGAAUGAUGUAAAACUAAGACUGUGACAGCUGUAAUGGCUGUGCUGAGGAACACACCACAGAGAGAAGGCAGCAUCUGCACACACACACGCACACAUGUACAUACAUACCUGGACAAUCACAUUUCUUACAUGCCUAUGUUAUAUCACUUUUCUUUGUGCAAUCACAUUGAGGAAUAAUCUAUUGGUAUCGUUGAAGUUCAACACAAAAGAGUAAAAAGGGUGUAUGACCUGUAGAGUGCUACAUUCUACCGGGGGCAGCUAAAAUGUCUCCUCCUAUACUAAAACGGCUAGGGAUUAAAAGGAAAACUUCCAAAGAAAACAAAAUAAAACAAAACUGAAAUCCA
rnacentral:lncRNA from 1 species